UUAGUACUCCCUCCGCCCGGAAAUACUUGUCAUUAAAAUAGAUAAAAGGAGAUGUAUCUAGAUGCAUUUUAGUUCUACAUACAUCCCUUAUAUUCAUUUUGAUGACAAGUAUUUCCGGACGGAGGGAGUAAUAG
rfam:Triticum aestivum genome assembly, contig: Triticum_aestivum_CS42_TGACv1_scaffold_378478_5AL